CAAAAUUAUAAGCGAUCCUGUGACAAUUAAUAAAUUAAUUAAACACUCUUUAAAAAAAAUAAUAAAAUAAUUGAAAAUAUUCAAAAUUAUAAGCGAUCCGAUCGCUUAUCCGAUCUAACAAAACGCAAUAAGAUUGCUUACCAUUGGUGAAUUGCCAGAAAAUUCCAUACUCGUCUUUAUUAACAUUACACACAAGUGAUUCACAAUCCUCGGCCGUCGGUGUAAAUUGCUCAGUGUUCAGAAUCUUCUUAGCCAACUGUUCUGGAUCAGAGCACUUUAGCCUGAGACAUAGCAUCGAUGGCCAUAGGUGUGGCCGGGACGGACAAGUGAUGAUAAGUAGGUUUGAACCUAUCAUUAUCUCAGCCAGCUCUGGAUCAUUGUUUACAAUCAUAGCACCAAAAACUUGCCUGUAGAAGCGUGCAGCACUGGUGACCUCAAUGGAGCCACCACAAGCAGUGCCGUCAGCUUUGUAGUGUUAGCUGUCUUCUCCUCCAUUGAAUAGAAGCCGAGCUAAAAGUGGAAGGGAAAUAUAUGAGAGAGAGAGCUGAUUGGGGAGAGAAAUGAGAGCAGAAUUUCAAAAAUCAAGGUGCGCGGUUUGGGUUUAUAUAACAGAAGGGAAGCGCUUCGAGUUAGUUAUGUGUACGGAUUUCAUUUUGGUUAAUCUUUAAUUCACGUCUGAAACGCCCCACUAGCCGAGUCGACCAACACUUUGGAUCAAAGGGUUUUCCCAUGUGUUGAGUUUGGAGCCUAUGGUUUGCCGAGCCCACAAAUACUUUCGAUCAGUAUGACACAGAAGACUCUUUUAUUGAUGAUGCCGAGUUGGAUGAGUAUUUUAAAGUUGACAAUUCAGCAAUAAAACAUGAUGGAUUCUUUGUUAACAGGGGAAAACUGGAACGCAUGCGAGUUUCCUUCAAUCUUUUACCUGAUUGUAUUUAUGUAUAGUUUUUUUCCUUAAUUGCAUAGUCUAUACUCUAUACAUACAAGACUUUAUUCACUUAAUUUCUUCUUUGAUUUGGUACUGAACAAGGUCAUAUUAUUUCCUUUCAAGUGGCCACCAUGAUUUGUGUAUGGCCUAUGGAAGUCUCGACUUUAACAAGGUUUCUCUUUUGAGUACGUAAAAGUGAUGGUAAAAUAAAACCAUGGGUGUUAUUUGACAGAACAGAUGGAAUGUCAAAUGUUCUCUUCCUUGAUCUACAUGUGAUUACUGCCUAUAGAUAUAUGUGGACUGUAUGUUGUGUGUUCCAGUAGGGAUUUGAAGGCAUAGACUUUCUAGAAUUUUCU